UGCCCCCCUGGCAAUGGACAAAGAGACACCUUGCUGGUAGUAUUGCUCUUAUAUCAGUUAGGGGCAGAGCAGAUGGCAGUCCUUUGUUCAUCUUAGCUUGAUGCCUGUCCUGGUGGCAAAAGCCGUUUUAUAUCUAAGACACAUAA